AGUGUGGUGGCCGAGCGGUUAAGGCGUUGGACUUAAGUUCCAAUGGACAUUAGCUCCUCGUGGGUUCAAAUCCCACCCGCACUA